rnacentral:rRNA from 1 species
AUUGAACGCUGGCGGCAGGCUUAACACAUGCAAGUCGAGCGGGGGAAGGUAGCUUGCUACUGGACCUAGCGGCGGACGGGUGAGUAAUGCUUAGGAAUCUGCCUAUUAGUGGGGGACAACAUCUCGAAAGGGAUGCUAAUACCGCAUACGUCCUACGGGAGAAAGCAGGGGAUCUUCGGACCUUGCGCUAAUAGAUGAGCCUAAGUCGGAUUAGCUAGUUGGUGGGGUAAAGGCCUACCAAGGCGACGAUCUGUAGCGGGUCUGAGAGGAUGAUCCGCCACACUGGGACUGAGACACGGCCCAGACUCCUACGGGAGGCAGCAGUGGGGAAUAUUGGACAACGGGGGGAACCCUGAUCCAGCCAUGCCGCGUGUGUUAAGAAGGCCUUAUGGUUGUAAAGCACUUUAAGCGAGGAGGAGGCUACUUUAGUUAAUACCUAGAGAUAGUGGACGUUACUCGCAGAAUAAGCCCGGCUAACUCUGUGCCAGCAGCCGCCGCGG